UAUUUUUUUAUGUUUCAGCAAAGACCAGACAAACCAGCCCUGCCAGAGAAGCCAAGCCUGAUGAAUCGCUCAAUAGUUCUCACAGACCAGUCAAAACCACAAAUCCCUGAGCGUCCAGCAGUGGUAGCACAGCGGCCUUCUGCUGCCACUUCCUCUGUUCCUGGUCAUACACAGCCCGUACCAUCAGAUACCAAUGUGACGGACGUGGACUCAGAAGGUAGGGUGGGUUCGGCUCUAAGGAGUGAUGGAGACAGUGGUGGAGGCAGCAGUGGUGAGGAUAAUGGAGUGCCAGUGCUAGAGACGGCUCCGCGUGUACUCAGUAGACAAGCAGCAGGUGGCCAUUGUCCAAGUGGGUGGUGGUAGUGCAGGUGCUCAAGAUGUUGUCAGUGGUAGCAGUGAGAAGCCAGGAAAGCCGGCCAAGCCCGAGAAGCCUCCUAAUAUUGUGCCCGUCCCCAUCAUUUACCUCAGAACAAGUGGAAUCUUUAGGAUCAUAUUCUGCCUCAGGUGAGCCAGCAGCAGUGUUUGAAACUACCAGCAGAGAAUUCUCUCCAUCAGGUUGCCAGUGACUCAAUGAGACUUAGUUCGUGUAUUAAGAGCGGUGGAUCUGGAAAGUUCACGUGGCCUCCUACCCUAGAUUCAACCACCUCCAAACUUGCUGAAGAUGAGACUGCUUCAGACUCCACAAACCUUUAAUUAACAUCAAGUGGUGCCUAAUGCCUGUGCAUUGUGUUGCUUAUAGAGCUGGUGCUAGUAACAACCCCAGUUGCAUGGUGCUCUUGUUACUAGGUUCUAAACACUUGGCUCAACACACAAUACAGUAAUAUCAAACGAAUGUCUCAUUUUUGAAAAGGUGGAGUCUGGUCUUUCAAACUUCUGCGGUUGUGUUGUCUCGAAAUGAUUCCAUAGAAUAAUGUGAAGAUAAAGCAGUAGGUAUAAAGUUCAGUUUUAGGUGCUUGUCAAAUUUCUUUUUCUGACGCUAGUUGCCAAUAGUGUUAGUGAAUACAGACUGAGAUUAAAGUGUUGGCAAACAGGGUGAGCCAAGUUGGAGGUGAAGCAAAGCUACACAGAAACAAUUCUU
rnacentral:lncRNA from 1 species